rnacentral:lncRNA from 1 species
AUGUUAGGUUACGCUGCUCCUGCUGAAGCUGCCCCUGUAGAAGAGCCACCUAAAGCACCAACACCACCUCCUCCAGCAGUGCCCGCAAGUGCCCCUCAGAACCUCAGUGUGGAUGAUGUCAAUGAUACCUCAGUCACUCUUAAGUGGAGAUCCCCGGAGAAUACUGGCUCUGGGCUGGAUGGAUAUACUGUGGAAUACUGCAAGGAAGGAUGUGCGUAUAUUCUCUCAGUAUUGCUGAUAAACUCUUUAGGCUGAGGGAUAGUGUUUCAAUCAUCGUGCCUUCUUCUUGAAAUUGAACCAUGUUGAACUAUCAGAUGUCAUCAGAAAAGUGGGUUAUAUGACAGUCUGUUAUAGCACCUGUCUUUGAGAUGUCACCACAGACUGAUUUAUAGCCAGCUCCUCUAGGUCUCCCUAUUAGGAAGGGAUGCUUUCAACCAACUGUCACCAUAUCUGCACACCCCACAUUUAGAUUUGUGGAUGUAUAUUGACAUCACCACUAGUCUGUUGGGAAAUUCAUAUUUGAUGUUUAACUGGGUUGUUGACGCAUAACAUCCACAAGUUUUUAUUAUAAACAACGAGAUUUUAGGUUUAAAUUUUUUAAGGAUGUAAAAUGUAUUAUCAAAAUAAUGUAAUGCAUAAUUUAUAAUCACCUUUUGCCUUUACUAGUGGAUUUGAUAUGUUGCUGUGGUUUUUUUUUUAGCGCAAAAUUAUAUAUUUGCUUAAAAUAUAUAUAUUUUUAAUUGUACAUGGAAUAUAGCAUUUUUCCAUUAAUA